AACGAACGCUGGCGGCAGGCCUAACACAUGCAAGUCGAACGAAGUCUUCGGACUUAGUGGCGCACGGGUGAGUAACACGUGGGAAUAUACCUUACGCUGGGGGAUAACAUCGGGAAACUGAUGCUAAUACCGCAUACGCACUUCGGGGGAAAGAUUUAUCGGCGAAAGAUUAGCCCGCGUCCGAUUAGCUAGUUGGUGAGGUAACGGCCCACCAAGCCUUCGAUCAGUAGCUGAUGUGAGAGCAUGAUCAGCCACACGGGCACUGAGACACGGGCCCGACUCCUACGGGAGGCAGCAGUAAGGAAUAUUGGUCAAUGGACGCAAGUCUGAACCAGCCAUGCCGCGUGGAGGAUGAAGGCCCUCUGGGUUGUAAACUUCUUUUCUUUGGGACGAAACCCCUGUUUCUACGGGGACUGACGGUACCAGAGGAAUAAGCACCGGCUAACUCCGUGC
rnacentral:rRNA from 1 species